GCGGUAAUACGGAGGGUGCAAGCGUUAAUCGGAAUUACUGGCGUAAAGCGCGCGUAGUGGCUUGAUAAGCCGGUUGUGAAAGCCCCGGGCUCAACUGGGAACGGCAUCCGGGAACUGUCAAGCUAGAGUGCAGGAGAGGAAGGUAGAAUUCCCGGUGUAGCGGUGAAAUGCGUAGAGAUCGGGAGGAAUACCAGUGGCGAAGGCGGCCUUCUGGACUGACACUGACACUGAGGUGCGAAAGCGUGGGUAGCAAACAGGAUUAGAUACCCUGGUAGUCACGCCGUAAACGAUGUCGACCAGCCGUUGGGUGCCUAGCGCACUUUGUGGCGAAGUUAACGCGAUAAGUCGACCGCCUGGGGAGUACGGCCGCAAGGUUAAAACUCAAAUGAAUUGACGGGGGCCCGCACAAGCGGUGGAGCAUGUGGUUUAAUUCGAUGCAACGCGAAGAACCUUACCUACUCUUGACAUCCUGCGAAUUCGGUAGAGAUACCUUAGUGCCUUCGGGAACGCAGAGACAGGUGCUGCAUGGCUGUCGUCAGCUCGUGUUGUGAAAUGUUGGGUUAAGUCCCGUAACGAGCGCAACCCUUGUCCUUAUUUGCCAGCGCGUAAUGGCGGGAACUCUAAGGAGACUGCCGGUGACAAACCGGAGGAAGGUGGGGACGACGUCAAGUCAUCAUGGCCCUUACGAGUAGGGCUACACACGUGCUACAAUGGUCGGUACAAAGGGUUGCCAACUCGCGAGAGUGAGCCAAUCCCGAAAAGCCGAUCUCAGUCCGGAUCGGAGUCUGCAACUCGACUCCGUGAAGUCGGAAUCGCUAGUAAUCGUAGAUCAGAAUGCUACGGUGAAUACGUUCCCGGGC
rnacentral:rRNA from 1 species